GGUCCUAUAACUCAGCUGGUUAGAGUAGCUGACUCAUAAUCAGCAAGUCCUUGGUUCGAGCCCAAGUGGGACCA
rnacentral:tRNA from 12 species